AUGAUGACAAGAUCUACUUCUUCUUCCGUGAGUCGGCAGUGGAGGCUUCGCCAUCACUGGGACGCCAGACUGUGUCCCGGGUUGGCCAGAUCUGUCGGGUGAGGAGUCCUUGGGCCACAUCCGAUGACUACAUCCCUGCCCUUUUGCCUGUCUGGGCCUCCCCCUCAUCCCUGCUGAUUGACCCUGCAGAAUGACGUGGGAGGCCAGCGAAGCCUUGUCAACAAGUGGACCACGUUCCUGAAGGCGCGUCUGGUGUGCUCAGUGCCAGGUGUCGAGGGUGACACACACUUCGACCACCUCCGUGAGUGCCAGGAGCAGAGGAUGGGGUUGGAGAGAGGGAGUGCAGGGGGCCAGACCCAGGAGCCGGGCUGCCCAGAGGGCUGUGUGCCCUCCCCCAACUAGGCUUCUUCCCCACAGAGGACAUGUUCCUGCUGUCCUUGAGGGACCGCUGGAGCCCACUGCUCUACGCUGUCUUCUCCACAUCAAGGUGAGGGGCAGAAGGUAGAGGGCAGGGCCCAAAGGGCUCUUCUGGGCCCCUCAGUCUGCUCAUGUCUUCGCCUGCAGCACCAUCUUCCAGGGCUCUGCAGUGUGUGUGUACAGCAUGAACGACGUGCGCCGGGCCUUCCUGGGGCCCUUUGCACACAAGGAAGGGCCCAUGCACCAGUGGGUGUCCUACCAGGGCCGUGUCCCCUACCCCCGGCCUGGCAUGGUGCGUAGCCCCAGGAGUCCCACCACAACCCACUUAAAGUCUCAGGGGUGGAAAACUUGGCCUGGGAUCUUCUUGGUGAAUGUGUUUUUUUCCUUCCGUUAUGGGUGGGAAAACAUCACCUUUGUCAGACAGGGCUCCUCAGAGGAAGGGCAUAUUUCCCCCUAAGAGUCCCAAGGGCAAGUCUGGGUCUUCUCUCUUCAGAUUCUCAGGGCAGACCUCUGUCCAUUAGCACUCCUCUAUACUCGGGUACCUGGAGGUCUCUUGUGGACCCACCAGGCCCUCGUACCCACAUCCCUGUCGUGCCUCCUCCCCACCUGCCCAGUGUCCCAGCAAGACCUUUGGCACCUUCAGUUCUACCAAGGACUUUCCUGAUGACGUCAUUCAAUUUGCCCGGAACCACCCCCUCAUGUACAAUUCGGUCCUGCCCAUGGGUGGUCGCCCUCUCUUCAUACAAGUGGAUGCCGGGUACACCUUCACCCAGAUCACUGCAGACCGUGUAGCAGCUGCUGACGGACACUACGACGUCCUCUUCAUUGGCACAGGUCAGUGUCCUGCCAUGACUACCCAUAAAACUCUGUCCAGACUCUCUUCCACCUGUCAGCAGAAGCUGCCCCUGCCCAGUCCCAUCUUCACAUCUUUGCCUGGGUUGUGCUCUCAUCUCCUUCUGGAUGCUGGUCUGAUUGUUCCAACCCACAUUCUUCACCUAUCCAACCAUGCUAAGGGUAAAGGCCUCAGAAGUGAGGAGAUCCCCAGCCCUAGCUGCCAGGAAACACAAGGAAUCACUCAUUCCUCAUCCCUGCAGACGCUGGCACAGUGCUGAAGGUGAUCUCCGUCCCCAAGGGCAGCCAGCCUAACGGGGAGGGGCUGCUCUUGGAGGAGCUGCACGUUUUUGAGGUGAGGCCUAGCCCCCUCCUCCUAGAGGAACCCUACCCCAUUGAUCUCUGAUCCCAGCGCUCGCUCCUCCUCCUCCUCCUCUCAGGAUUCAUCUGCUAUCACCAGCAUGCAAAUCUCUUCCAAGAGGGUAAGUGACCAAAAGGCUUGGGAGCAGAAGGGACCCAGUGUGUUCCCCGGGCACCCCUACCCCCACACCUCCCUUGGUAGUUUGAAGCACUGGGUUUGAGUAUAGGUUCUGCCUUUGCUAGACUGCGUGACCUGAGACCCUGAUCAGUGUCAAGUGGGGUGAGGGAUCCCUGACCAAUGGGAGGCGGGCACAGGGCUGCCUUCGGUCAGCCCGGAGCCCCUCGUGCCCCCUAGCACCAGCUGUACAUAGCUUCGCGGAGCGCGGUCGCCCAGAUCCCGUUGCACCUCUGUGCUGCCCACGGCCGCGCCUGUGCGGAAUGCUGCCUUGCGCGCGACCCUUACUGCGCCUGGGACGGGGCCGCGUGCACGCGCUUUCAGCCCAGCGCUAAAAGGUGGGCAGGGUUGGGGGCGGGCCACCUGGAAUCAUUUGCAGCACCUGGCUAAAUGAAGAAGGACUCACCGAGGCUCUAAUGUACCAAUGCAACCCCCACCCUGCAGGCGGUUCCGGCGGCAAGACGUGAGGAAUGGCGACCCCAGCACGCUGUGCUCCGGCGGUGAGUGCCCCCAGCUGCCCCACUUCUGGGCCUUUGAAGACGCCCCACCCUGCCCUGCCUGAAUCUGACAUUCCUUUGCCCUCCCCAGAUUCCUCUCAUCCCGCACUGCUGGAGCGGAAGGUGUUCGGUGUGGAGGGCGGAAGCGCCUUCCUGGAGUGUGAGCCCCGCUCGCUGCAGGCGCGCGUGGAAUGGACCUUCCAGCGCGCAGGGGAGGCGACCCACACCCAGGUGAGCCUCACGCCCUCCCUUCCCAAACAAGCCCUUGUCCCGCCCCCUACAUCCAGGAGAGCCCCGCCUUGCCAGUGUGGUUCCCACUUCUAGACUAGGUCCGACCCCGCCCAGUGAGACUCUGUCCAGCUAGACCCCUUACGUCCAGUUUGGUCCCUUACCUGAACUCCACGUUCUGGUGAGGCCCCAUUCCAUCUAACUAGACUCCUGACACCCCCCUCCCCCAUCCGAGAGGAGCCCCGCCCAUUGAGGCCCCCGCCCCGCCCCCAUGUUCAGGUAACCCCUCCCCCCCCCCACCUCCAGUCCAGUCCCGUCCGGUCUCGUCCGGUCCGGUAAGAGUUUCCGCUUUUAGACCACUGGUCCCAGUGCACCCAACCUUCAAAGGUACACCUGCGAGAGUCCCUUACCUGCUCAUGCUUGGCCACCGUUGACCCUCUACCUCUCCUGGCCCGACCUGGGAGCCGGGUUUCCUUGUUCCUGACACCGAUGCCUUUGCCUCCCACUGGCCCCGCCUGCAGGUAGCUAUGGAGGAGCGCGCGGAGCGCCUUACGGGGGGACUGCUGCUGCGCGGACUGAGGCGCGGGGAUUCUGGCGUGUACCUGUGCGCAGCUGUGGAGCAGGGCUUUUCGCAGUCGCUGCGUCGCCUGGUGCUACACGUGCUGAGUGCUGCGCAGGCCGAAAGGCUGGCCCGGACCGAGGAGGCUGUGCCCGUAGCCCCUCCAGGCCCCAGGCUCUGGUACCGGGACUUCCUGCAGCUGGUGGAGCCGGGCGGCGGUGGCGCGAGUUCCCUGCGAAUGUGUCGUCUGCAGCCUGAGUCGCGCCCACCGCCUCCCGAGUCACGGAGGAAGGGCCGAAACCGGCGAAGGCACGCCCCAGAGCCGCGUGCUGAGCGGGGGCCGCGCAGCGCAGCGCACUGGUGAUUCGGCAGUCCACGCCGGGUACAGGGAAGGAGGCUACAGGCAGGACAGGGGGAGGACAGACCGUGGAGGACGCACAGCUAGGGGGCCUGGCACAUUGGUCCCUGGUUGAUGGAGACACCGACCUACAGGCCCUGGCUGAGGGGCAGCCUCCCCGGCUUAUUUAUUAACAGAGGAUAACCCUUGAAUGUAGCCCUGGGAGGGACGGCCCAGGCGGGGCACAGGGGCCGGCUGGUCGGGAGGAGGGAGAUAAGCAAGGCUCCAGAGCAACGACCUGGGCAGAGGAGGUGCCCGGAGUGCCCACCCCGGGAUAAAGACCUCCUCCUUGGAGAAUGAGCAGAAAGCUGUGAACAGGCUGAACUGGUGGGGCGGGAGUGGGACAGGCCGACUGUACUAAUGCAAUAAACACAUUAUGAGCCGAAGCUGGAAUGGCCCCAGCUG
rnacentral:lncRNA from 1 species